rnacentral:rRNA from 1 species
UACGUAGGGUGCAAGCGUUGUCCGGAAUUAUUGGGCGUAAAGAGCUCGUAGGCGGUCUGUUGCGUCGGCUGUGAAAACCCGAGGCUCAACCUCGGGCCUGCAGCCGAUACGGGCAGACUAGAGUUCGGCAGGGGAGACUGGAAUUCCUGGUGUAGCGGUGAAAUGCGCAGAUAUCAGGAGGAACACCGGUGGCGAAGGCGGAUCUCUGGGCCUUACCUGACGCUGGAGGCGCGAAAAGCGUGGGGAGCAAACAGG